rnacentral:rRNA from 1 species
AGAGUUUGAUCCUGGCUCAGAUUGAACGCUGGCGGCGUGCUUAACACAUGCAAGUCGUGCGAGAAAGGGGACUUCGGUCCCUGAGUAGAGCGGCGCACGGGUGAGUAACGCGUGGAUUAUCUACCCAGAUAUUCGGGAUAACGGCGGGAAACUGCCGCUAAUACCGGAUACGCUCCAAUUUCGGUUGGGGGAAAGGCGGCCUCUGCUUGCAAGCUGUCGUAUCUGGAUGAGUCCGCGUCCCAUUAGCUUGUUGGUGGGGUAAUGGCCUGCCAAGGCGACGAUGGGUAGCUGGUCUGAGAGGAUGAUCAGCCACACUGGAACUGAAACACGGUCCAGACUCCUACGGGAGGCAGCAGUGGGGAAUAUUGCGCAAUGGGGGAAACCCUGACGCAGCGACGCCGUGUGAGGGAAGAAGGCUUUCGGG